rnacentral:rRNA from 1 species
UAGGGAAUAUUGGGCAAUGGAGGCAACUCUGACCCAGCCACGCCGCGUGGAGGAUGAAGGUGCUAUGCAUCGUAAACUUCUUUUGUCAAGGGAGAAAGUGCUUGAUUUAUCGAGUUUUGACGGUACUUGGCGAAUAAGCAUCGGCUAACUACGUGCCAGCAGCCGCGGUAAUACGUAGGAUGCAAGCGUUAUCCGGAAUCACUGGGUUUAAAGGGUCUGUAGGCGGUAUCAUAAGUCAGUGGUGAAAUAUCUGGGCUUAACUUGGAGGGUGCCAUUGAUACUGUAGUACUUGAGAUAGAAUGACGUGGGCGGAAUGUGUCAUGUAGCGGUGAAAUGCUUAGAGAUGACACAGAACACCGAUUGCGAAGGCAGCUCACGAAGCCUUAUCUGACGCUGAGGGACGAAAGCGUGGGGAGCAAACA